ACAAAUUUUGGGGGCCUGUUAAGGAAAGGUAUAUACAAGUAGGGAAUGCUGUUGCAUUUCCAGUAUCCAUGGCAUUCGGAAGUAUGUUGGCAAAGGGAAGCCAAGGAGUCUCAAAUAAUGAACCCUUGACAACAACUGAUCUGAAAUUCCCUCUGAGUCUUGCACAAUUGUCUGCGUGAAUAGCAUUGGAUUAAUUAUCCAUUCUUAAACAAGGCUACGCGGUGCUCAAAGGAUAAUGAUUAUUAUGAAUCGGUGUCUUUUCCCUGAGCAAAUGAGGGAUUAUAGAACAAUAAAAAAUAUAUGAAGCCAAACUUAUUUUUAGCUUUUUCUUUUGGGCCUAGACCCAUUUCUGUUUGCAGAGUACUGGUGGACCGGGCACUGGAAGUGAUAUUGGGCUGUUUGCGAGGUUCUGCUGUGGGCCCUUUCUCGAUUCAUAUUUCCUCACAUGACCAAUCAUGCUGAUUGAUGAUUAUGGCCCAACCCAAAAUACUAUGGUGGACCUCGGCUUGUCCAUGGCAAUUUGUUC